UCUCGCUCUGUCACCCAGACUGGAGCACAGUGGUGUGACCUUGGCUCACUGCAACCUCCACCUCCUGGGUUCAAGCAAUUCUCUUGCCUCACUAGGCCUCCCAAGUAGCUGAGGCAUGAGAAUUGCUUGAACCCAGGAGGCGGACCGGGUUGCAGUGAGCCGAGAUCGUGCCACUCCACUCCAACUUGGGCAACAGAGUGAGACCCUGUCUCAAAAAAAUCACAUAAAGAAAAAAAAAAGACCUAUUGUAAAGCUAUAGUAAUCAAGAUCAUGUGGUAUUGGUUAAGGAAUAGAUGAAUAGGUCAAUGGAAUAGAAUAGAGAGCUCAGAAUUGACUCACAUAAAUAGUCAAUUGAUCUUUGACCAAAAAAAAAAAGGCAAUUUGAUGAAGAAAUAAACAUCUUUUCAACAAAUGGUGUUAGAGUAACUGGAUAUUCACCUGGAAAAAAUCAAUCUAAACACUGACCUUAUAUCCUUCAUAAAAAUUAACUAAAAAUGGAUCACAGACCUUAAUGUAAAAUGCAAAACUAUAAAACUUCUAGAAGACAAAAUAGGAUGCCUUGGAUUUGGUGAUGAGUUUUUAGAUAAAAUACCAAAAGCAUGAUCCAGGAAAAAAAUUAUAUCAGAUUCUAUUAAAAUUUAAAACUUCUGUUCUGCAAAAUACAAUGUUAAGAUAAUGAAAAUAUAAGCCAUGGACUGGGAGAAAAUAUUUGUAAAACACAUAUCUGAUAAAGGACUUGCAUUCAAAAUAUACACAGAAGUCUUGAAACUUAUCAAAAAGAAAACCCAAUUUAAAAAUGGGCAAAAAAUCUGAACAGACACCUCACCAAAGGAGAUAUACAGGUGGCAAAUAAGCAUAUGAAAAGAUGCUCAACAUCAUAUGUCAUCAGGAAAUUGCAAGAAGUUAAAAGAACAAUGAGAUGCCAUUGUGUGCCCACUAGGGUAGCUAAAACCCAAAAUGCCAUGCUAGCAGGGAUACAUAUUGCUGAGUGAAAGCCAAUCUGAAAGGCUACAUACUGUAUAAUUCCAGCUAUAUGCCAUUCUGGAAAAGGCAAAACAACACAGAAAGUAAAAAGUUCAGUAGCAGCCAGGGAUGUGUUUGGGGGUGAAGAAAGGGAUGAAUAAAUGAAGCAUAGGGUAUGUUUAUGGCACUGAAACUAUUCUGUAUGUGAUGAUGAAUACAUGACAUUAUGCAUUUGUCAAAAUCCACAGAAUUGUGCAAAAAGAAUAAACCCUAGUGUAAAUGACAAAUUUCAGUUAAUAAUACUAAUAAUGUAUGAAUAUUGGUUAAUUGUAACAAAUGUACCAUACUAACACAAAGAUGUUAAUAAUAGGGGAAACACUAUGCUGGACUGGGACUUAGAUGGGAAAUCUCUGUACUAUCUGCUCAAUUUUUUCUGUAAAUCUAAAAUUGGUCUAAAAAAUAAAGUGUGUGUGUGUGUGUGUGUGUAUACAUUUUAAAAUGACUCUAAGGUUUUUGGUCUGAGCUUCAGAAUGAAUAGAGUUGCCAUUUAUUGACAAAAAGAAAACGACAGAAGGAGAAAGUAUAGGAGCAAAUCAAGAUUUCUUUUUGGACAUGCUAAUUUGAGAUGCCUUUUUUAGAUCACAGCGGAGAUGUCAAGUAGGCACUUACAUAUAUGAGUCUGAGGUUCAUGGAAGAGGUUGGGAUGGAGAUAAAAAUUUGGGAGUCAUCAGUAUAUCGAUGAUAUUUAAAACCUUAGAACCAGAUAAGGCCGCUUAGGGAGUGAGUAUAAUGAAGAGAAAAGCUCAGAUGACUAAACCCUAGUUACUUAACCUCCUCAAAUCCCCAAAUUAGGUUCUUGCAUUAAUAGCUAAACAUCUAUAUCCUUACAGAUUUGCACAUUGUAAUUGGUAUCCAUUACAGAAAACAGAAACAAGCAUUACAAUUCCUAAUAUUCUGACUCAAAUAAUUUUCCCACCUUUGUUUCAGGAUUUCCUACAGAUUUUGUAGUGGCAAAACUCUUGAUUUAACUUUCUCUUACCUUUGACUUCCUUAAUCCUUAAGAGGUUGCUUCUCCUGAACUGUUACUUCCCAGGAGGAGAGCUGUUUGUUUGUUUGUUUGUUUUUUCAUAUUUUUUCUAUGUCUGUCUCUCCUUUCCUCCCCUCCUUUUCCCAUCAUUCCCAUAUCUCUUGUAUCACACAUACUCACUCCUUCUCCACCCAUGCCACACCAAUCUAGGGCUUUCUCACCAACUGCAGGCAGGUACUCUCUCUGCCAUUACUACAUACCCAGUCAUAAUGAACUAUUGGCAAAUUUCAGGCCCUCUCAGCCCUCAAUACCUUGCUCAUGUUAUUACUUUAACCAGGGCAUCCAUUCCCAUCCUUGUUCCUUGUUCUUGCAUAUUUCAAACAUCUUGUCCUCCAGUAAGUUUUCCCAGACUCUCUUGUCUCUUUAUCCCACCAGUCAAAGUUAGGUCUCCUCCCUCUGUGGUCUUCCUCAGUACCCUGUACAUAUCUGUCAUUACGUUUAUCACACUAGAUGUAAAUGACUGUCCAUCUCAGCUCCAGACUGUUAGCAUCUUGUAGGCAAAGUCCAUAAUAUUUUGCACCCGAUGAGCCCAGGCAGCCAAUAAAUAAAUAAGCAACUUAGAAAAUACUGGAAUAAUUUGUAAUUUACCUUUUUAUUCUAUCCUAAAACCAAAUUUUGCCUCUAGGUAGUAUAUAAUUAUGUUUGUAUUAAUUAUAUUUAAAUAAAAAGUAAAAUCAAAUACAUUUAUAACAUUUUUAGUGAUGGGUAAGAACAAUAAAUAAAUUUUUAAUUUUCCCUACACAUCUCGGGGUUUUAAAAUAUUAGGUUUUUUCUUCUCCCCAUGAAAACACAAAGGCAAUGGAUUUAAAAAUAAAUAAUUCGUCCAUUUAUAUUAUCUGGGUUACUGCUGUGAUAAUACAAACAGCUAAUAAAAUGUUCUUUAAUCAUGUCCUUUAAAAAAGAAAAAUUACUAUUGGCAGUCUUUAAAAGCUAUAUUGGGAAAAAUUAAUUCUGACAAAGAAAAAAUAACUAAAAUUCAUCGGAUUCAAUGUAUGAGGAAAAGAGAGUACAUUCUUUUGAAAACAACAUUGAGGGAAAUAGGAUAUGAUAUGCAUUAAUAAGCUAAGCAUCAGAUUAAGCAAAUCACCACAGGCUAGGAAUCCUAACUUUGGCUCUGACAUUCAUUUCUAAUGUGCACAGAAUUAUUUUCACUUCUCUUAAGGCAUAAAUUCCUUUAAUUGUACAAUACUCUUGCCAAAAUAAUUUUAUUCAAACCAACUUUUAAAAGCUCUUAGACUUUUAGCUUCAUGGUAGCUAAGCUUGCAAAGGAGCAAUUUGGUAUAUGGAAUGUUUACAUCUUUUUUCUAAACUUCCCAAGUAAUAUGCAGAUGCCAAGAAGAACUUUUGAAAUAUUUUUGUCUCAGAUAAGAUGGCUGAGUGUAUUCAAUUUAGAAAGGUUACCAACUGCCACGAAACAAUAACAACAAAAGAAAUGCCACUAUUUGAGGUCCUAGGGGAACAAAAUGGUGAUGGGAGAGGCUCCAUUCUCCCAUCCACUAUUCUUCUCUGACACUGAGAAGAAAGAACCAUUUACAAUUUAGUCAGGUUUGAAAGGAUGAAUGAUUCACGUAUUACUAAGGAAGGAACUACAAUCCUUUGGGGAAAGAAAAGGAGAUUAAUAGUUUCAGAAAGCUGUAUCUUAACUGUGCCUGGAUUUUAUAAUUGUAUAAGACAUUUCACUUCGCUCAGCUUUUUUUUAAUUUACAUAUAACCACAGAUGAGUUUAAAAUAUGUCAACUAAGGUUUUCCCACCUCUUGUAUCUUACUGAAGAAACAAAAUUUACAUUAGAAUUGGGAGGUGACAUUGGGUCUAUGAGGGGGAAAAAAAAACAAACAAAAAAAACCCUACCAGUAGUUAAAGACUAGAAAACCAUUUUGUUCCCUUAUAAUUUGAGUCCCUGUAUAAGUCACUUAAGAUAUUUUCCCAUUUGCAACUACCUGUAGUACUACUACUAUUACAGAAAAUUGUAAUACUAUUAUCCUAAUUUCAGUAUAGUAUACUUUUACCAUUUAGGGUACUCAAUAAAUACCAAUGGACCCAAGGUGGUCCAAAGUGAAGCUAAUCAGGCUAUCUGAACAUAAAUUUGACUUCAUUUGCAAUCUUAGCACUGAAAAAGAUAGGUCACUAGUUUUAGUUAGUAUUCCUCUUGUUGUCUCAUCUUUAAAUCCAUCAGAUCUCUUUCAUCUCUGUGUAUCUAUGAAUAUGAUUUUAUACCAUUGCUUUGUCUGAGCAAACUGUACCUCUACAGUCAUUUACCAAAGUUGCUUCAUGUAUUCCUUAGAUUCAAUUUAGCAAAGAAACAAUCUAGAGUACUGUCCAUAUGGAUACCAUGCAAAUAUACAACUUAAUAUGGCAUUAUAAUGCAAACUAAAAAUUAUUUUACAUUAGCUUUAGGAAGUAUUUUUAGAUGAGAGAAACAAGAAACACUAGCAAUUAAUUACUUCAUACUCCAUCAGCAAAAUUUUCCCACUAGAUAAUCAGAAAUGGGCACUUUAUCAAUUUUAUUCCCCCAUUACAGAUCAGGAAAUAAC
rnacentral:lncRNA from 10 species